GAGCCGGCCGUGGGGAAGAAGGGGAGGGAGGGUCGGCCGGCGGCUAUCAGCUGCUGCAGAUUCUGGGGGUUUUCCUGCCCGUGCUUUGCCCUCCUUUUGCUUGAGCUUCCGCCGGACCGGCACUUCGCGCCCCUCUCUGCCAAACAUAAGACAGCCCGUGAGGCGUGAGGAGUCUUCCCAGUUUUGCAGACGAGGAAACUGAGGCUCAGAGAAGUUAAAUAAACCCCUCACCCACCCCGGCACACAGCAAGUGGGACGUCUACGGGACGAAGGCAAAUGCAGUGUAGCGGUCAGACAGCCUGGGCUUGGCGCCUGGAUCCCCCACUUAGGGACUCUGUCUUCGGACAAGUGACUUAUUCUGCCUGAGGCCCACUUUCUUCAUCUGUAAAAUGGGCUAAUUACUGUAUUAAAUCACAAGAUUUUCUCCAAGGAAGAUUAAUUUAUGUGAAGUG